GUGGGGAAUAUUGGACAAUGGGCGCAAGCCUGAUCCAGCCAUACCGCGUGGGUGAAGAAGGCCUUCGGGUUGUAAAGCCCUUUUGUUGGGAAAGAAAAGCAAUCGAUUAAUACUCGGUUGUUCUGACGGUACCCAAAGAAUAAGCACCGGCUAACUUCGUGCCAGCAGCCGCGGUAAUACGAAGGGUGCAAGCGUUACUCGGAAUUACUGGGCGUAAAGCGUGCGUAGGUGGUUGUUUAAGUCUGUUGUGAAAGCCCUGGGCUCAACCUGGGAAUUGCAGUGGAUACUGGGCAACUAGAGUGUGGUAGAGGGUAGUGGAAUUCCCGGUGUAGCAGUGAAAUGCGUAGAGAUCGGGAGGAACAUCCAUGGCGAAGGCAGCUACCUGGACCAACACUGACACUGAGGCACGAAAGCGUGGGGAGCAAACAGG
rnacentral:rRNA from 1 species